rnacentral:rRNA from 1 species
CCAGACUCCUACGGGAGGCAGCAGUGAGGAAUAUUGGUCAAUGGGCGAGAGCCUGAACCAGCCAAGUCGCGUGAGGGAAGACGGUCCUACGGAUUGUAAACCUCUUUUGUCAGGGAGCAAGGAGCGCCACGAGUGGUGCGGCGAGAGUACCUGAAGAAAAAGCGCCGGCUAACUCCGUGCCAGCAGCCGCGGUAAUACGGAGGGCGCGAGCGUUAAUCGGAAUUACUGGGCGUAAAGCGCGCGUAGGCUGUUGUGUAAGUUGGGGGUGAAAUCCCACGGCUCAACCGUGGAACAGCCCUUGAUACUGCGCGACUUGAAUCCGGGAGAGGGUGGCGGAAUUCCAGGUGUAGGAGUGAAAUCCGUAGAUAUCUGGAGGAACAUCAGUGGCGAAGGCGGCCACCUGGACCGGUAUUGACGCUGAGGCGCGAAAGCGUGGGGAGCAAACAGGAUUAGAUACCCUCGUAUC